rnacentral:rRNA from 1 species
UACAGAGGGGGCAAGCGUUGUCCGGAUUUAUUGGGUUUAAAGGGUGCGUAGGUGGCCUUAUAAGUCAGCGGUGAAAGUCUGCAGCUUAACUGUAGAACUGCCAUUGAUACUGUAAGGCUUGAGUACUGAUGAGGUAGGCGGAAUUGAUAGUGUAGCGGUGAAAUGCAUAGAUAUUAUCAAGAACACCGAUUGCGAAGGCAGCUUACUAAGGAGUUACUGACACUGAGGCACGAAAGCGUGGGGAUCAAACAGG